UGGGGAAUAUUGGACAAUGGGCGAAAGCCUGAUCCAGCCAUGCCGCGUGGGUGAAGAAGGCCCUAGGGUUGUAAAUCCCUUUCAGCGGGGAAGAUAAUGACGGUACCCGCAGAAGAAGCCCCGGCUAACUCCGUGCCAGCAGCCGCGGUAAUACGGAGGGGGCUAGCGUUGUUCGGAAUUACUGGGCGUAAAGCGCACGUAGGCGGGCUGUUAAGUCAGUGGUGAAAUCCCGAGGCUCAACCUCGGAAUUGCCUUUGAUACUGGCAGCCUUGAGUUCGAGAGAGGUGAGUGGAAUUCCGAGUGUAGAGGUGAAAUUCGUAGAUAUUCGGAGGAACACCAGUGGCGAAGGCGGCUCACUGGCUCGAUACUGACGCUGAGGUGCGAAAGCGUGGGGAGCAA
rnacentral:rRNA from 1 species